GACGAACGCUGGCGGCGUGCUUAACACAUGCAGGUCGAACGGAAAGGCCCUGCUUGCAGGGUACUCGAGUGGCGAACGGGUGAGUAACACGUGGGUGAUCUGCCCUGCACUUCGGGAUAAGCUUGGGAAACUGGGUCUAAUACCGGAUAGGAACCAUCUUUAGUGUGGUGGUUGGAAAGUUUUUUCGGUGUAGGAUGAGCUCGCGGCCUAUCAGCUUGUUGGUGGGGUAAUGGCCUACCAAGGCGGCGACGGGUAGCCGGCCUGAGAGGGUGUACGGCCACAUUGGGACUGAGAUACGGCCCAGACUCCUACGGGAGGCAGCAGUGGGGAAUAUUGCACAAUGGGCGCAAGCCUGAUGCAGCGACGCCGCGUGGGGGAUGAAGGCCUUCGGGUUGUAAACUCCUUUCGCUAGGGACGAAGCUUUGUUGUGACGGUACCUAGAUAAGAAGCACCGGCUAACUACGUG
rnacentral:rRNA from 1 species